CGCGUAGAUGAUGUGCCUUUUAGUGGGGGACAACCUCGGGAAACCGGGGCUAAUACCGCAUAAGCUUAGUUGACUUGAAAGAUACUAAGGAAAGGGGGCUUCGGCUCUCGCUAAGAGAUCGGUCUGCGUAGCAUUAGCUUGUUGGUGGGGUAAUGGCCUACCAAGGCAACGAUGCUUAACUGGUCUGAGAGGAUGAUCAGUCACACUGGAACUGAGACACGGUCCAGACUCCUACGGGAGGCAGCAGUAGGGAAUAUUGCGCAAUGGAGGAAACUCUGACGCAGCAAUGCCACGUGAGUG
rnacentral:rRNA from 1 species